ensembl:lncRNA
UGGAAACUGACUUCCUUGACCUUGGUUUCCCAGUCUCUGGGUCCUGACAGCUACAACAGAUGAGAAAACUGAUAAGCAAAGCAAGAUGUGACUUGCUCAAGAUUCAGCAGUUGACUGGUGACCAAGUUGAAUGGACGACUUGAAGGGCUCUUUUGGACACACCACCAUCAUGAUAUUAUUCCUCUUCCAAGAGAGAUUUAAAAUACUCAUUUUUUGCCACCAUAUGCAAAGAAUGACUGGUCCUGCACAGAGGAAGCAGACAAACAAGAACACAGCCAGCAUCUCCUGGAAGGCUCUUCAUCACACAGUAAUUGAUACAUCUCCAACAAGUGGCUCUCCAGGAAAUCAAUUCUGACAGGUGAAGAAAUGGAGACACAGAGAGGUUAAGUAACUUGCCCAUGUGCACACAGCUAGUGACAAAUGGCAUUAGAAAACAG